GUUUUGGUGAUGGUGAUGUGUGUGUAGAUCUUACUUUACUAAACAUUCUUGCUGCUUACAAUUAUCUCUAUCUAUAACAGUACUUUCUGUGGAAAAUGUUAUUGAAAAUCUUCAAAUUUUAAGAAAAUUGUUAAAAAAUUGACUAUGAAGGGCAAUAACUCCUUAGGGGGUCAAUUGACUAUUUUGGUCAUACUGACUUAUUUUUAGUUCUUACUUUGCUGUACAUUAUUGCUGUUUACAGUUUAUCUCUAUCUAUAAUAAUAUUCAAGAUAAUAACCAAAAA
rnacentral:lncRNA from 1 species